GAUGAACGCUGGCGGCGUGCUUAACACAUGCCAGUCGAACGGAAAGGCCCAAGCUUGCUUGGGUACUCGAGUGGCGAACGGGUGAGUAACACGUGGGUGAUCUGCCCUGCACUUCGGGAUAAGCCUGGGAAACUGGGUCUAAUACCGGAUAGGACCACAUUUUGGAUGGUGUGGUGGAAAGUUUUUCGGUGUGGGAUGAGCUCGCGGCCUAUCAGCUUGUUGGUGGGGUAAUGGCCUACCAAGGCGUCGACGGGUAGCCGGCCUGAGAGGGUGUACGGCCACAUGGGGACUGGGAGACGGCCCAGACUCCUACGGGAGGCAGCAGUGGGGAAUAUUGCACAAUGGGGGCAAGCCUGAUGCAGCGACGCCGCGUGGGGGAUGACGGCCUUCGGGUUGUAAACUCCUUUCGCUAGGGACGAAGCGUUUUUGUGACGGUACCUGGAGAAGAAGCACCGGCUAACUACGUG
rnacentral:rRNA from 1 species